AUUGAACGCUGGCGGCAGGCUUAACACAUGCAAGUCGAACGGAGUGGCGCACGGGUGAGUAAUACGUGAGUAACCUGCCGUCCUUGUUGGGAUAAGCCUUGGAAACGGGGUUUAAUACCGAAUAACGGGGGUGGGGCUCGCGGCCUAUCAGCUUGUUGGUGGGGUGAUUGACUACCAAGGCGGUGACCGGUAGCCGGCCGGAGAGGGUGACCUGCAACAUUGGGCCGGGGAUACGGCCCAGACUCCUACGGGAGGGAGCAGUGGUGGAUAUUGCACGCGGGGCGAAUGCCUGAUUCGGCGACGCCGCGUGGGGGAUUAAGGCUUUUGGAGUGUAAACCUCUUUCGCUAUCGAACGGGUAGGUGGAGAAGAAGCGCCGGCUAACUCCGUGCCAGCAGCCGCGGUAAUAC
rnacentral:rRNA from 1 species